rnacentral:rRNA from 1 species
AGGACGAACGCUGGCGGCGUGCCUAACACAUGCAAGUGGAGCGACGAACCAGGCUUCGGCCUGGGGCAGAGCCGCGAACGGGUGAGUAACACGUGGGUAACCUGCCCUGAUGAUUGGGACAACCCGAGGAAACUCGGGCUAAUACCGAAUGUGCCCUCUGGCCUCAAGGCCUCUGGGGAAAGGAAGCUUCGGCCUCCGCAUCGGGAUGGGCCCGCGGCCCAUUAGCUUGUUGGUGAGGUAACGGCUCACCAAGGCAACGAUGGGUAGCUGGUCUGAGAGGGCGACCGGCCACACUGGGACUGAGACACGGCCCAGACUCCUACGGGAGGCAGCAGUGGGGAAUAUUGCGCAAUGGGCGAAAGCCUGACGCAGCGACGCCGCGUGGGGGAUGAAGGCCUUCGGUUGUAAACCCUUUCAGCAGGACGAAGCGAAAGUGACGGUACCUGCAGAGAAGCGCCGGCUAACUACGCGCCAGCAGCCGCGGU